GUGGAAGAGGACAGAGUUAGUUUCCUGGGAUUUGGAAGGUGUGGUGAGCGCGAUGGCUUUUCACCCUAGCGCGGAUGAGACGCUGUCGAUACGGCAUGGAUUCAGGUGUGUUCCUGAGAAUGGAGUUAAAGUGGAGGAAGUUAGUCAGUGAACAGGUAGGAGCUGAAUUUAUACAUUCCGCUUCCAGAAUGAACAAAGCUGUGGUUGUGUUCAUGAAAAGAGCAAAUUUGGUUGGUAGGCUAAUUGCUAGUGGAAUAUUUGUAAGGGAUGUGUUGGUGCCAGUUUCACCUCUCUCUACCCCUUCGACAAGGGUGGUAGUUGCAAAUUUGCCUCCGUUUAUUACGGAUGAUCAAAUCAGGAAAGAGCUGAGUGGUUUUGGUAAGUUUGCUAGUGGGUUUCGUGUACUGUCGGCAGGUUUUCAGACAGAUGCCGUUAAGCACGUUGUUUCAUUCUGGAGGCAAGUGUUUAUGUUUCUGAACAACAAUGAGCAACAGCUAAAUGUGCAUUUUAAAGUGAGGCAUGGGGAGGGGCUCUAUGCAGGGUUUGCCAGCACAGAUAGUCUACGGUGUUUUGAGUGUGGGGAUUUGGGGCAUAAGAGCUUUGUGUGCCCACAUAAAGGGCAUAGACAAGGUGAGGGUACAAGCGCCCCCGGUGGGGGAAAUCGAGGUCAACGUGAAGGGGACAAUGAGACGCAGGUAGCAGAGGCUGGGCAUAGUCAUGCCAGUGAUGGUGGUGUAGAUGAGUCUGGGCCUAGUCAUGCCAUGGAUGGUGGUGUAGAUGAGGCUGGGUCUAGUCAUGCUAUGGAUGGCGGUGUAGAUGAGGCUGGGUCUAGUCAGGUGAUGGAUGGUGGUGUAGAUGAGGCUGGGUCUAGUCAUGCUACAGAUGGCGGUGUAGAUGAGGCUGGGUCUAGUCAGGCUAUAGAUGGUGGUGUAGAUGAGGCUGGGUCUAGUCAGGCUAGAGAUGGUGGUGUAGAUGAGGCUGGGUCUAGUCAGGUUAUGGAUGGUGGUGUAGAUGAGGCUGGGUCUAGUCAUGCUACAGAUGGUGGUGUAGAUGAGGCUGGGUCUAGUCAUGCCAUGGAUGGUGGUGUAGAUGAGGCUGGGUCUAGUCAUGCUACAGAUGGUGGUGUAGAUGAGGCUGGGUCUAGUCAUGCUAGAGAUGGUGGUGUAGAUGAGGCUGGGUUUAGUCAUGUUAUAGAUGGUGGUGUAGAUGAGGCUGGGUCUAGUCAUGCCAUGGAUGGUGGUGUAGAUGAUGCUGGGUCUAGUCAUGCUAGAGAUGGUGGUAUAGAUGAGGCUGGGUCUAGUCAGGUUAUAGAUGGUGGUGUAGAUGAGGCUGGGUCUAGUCAUGCUAGAGAUGGUGGUGUAGAUGAGGCUGGGUUUAGUCAUGUUAUAGAUGGUGGUGUAGAUGAGGCUGGGUCUAGUCAGGUUAUGGAUGGUGGUGUAGAUGAGGCUGGGUCUAGUCAUGCUACAGAUGGUGGUGUAGAUUAGGCUGGGUCUAGUCAUGCCAUGGAUGGUGGUGUAGAUGAGGCUGGGUCUAGUCAUGCUACAGAUGGUGGUGUAGAUGAGGCUGGGUCUAGUCAUGCUAGAGAUGGUGGUGUAGAUGAGGCUGGGUUUAGUCAUGUUAUAGAUGGUGGUGUAGAUGAGGCUGGGUCUAGUCAGGUUAUAGAUGGUGGUGUAGAUGAUGCUGGGUCUAGUCAUGCUAGAGAUGGUGGUAUAGAUGAGGCUGGGUCUAGUCAGGUUAUAGAUGGUGGUGUAGAUGAGGCUGGGUCUAGUCAGGUUAUAGAUGGUGGUGUAGAUGAGGCUGGGUCUAGUCAGGUUAUGGAUGGUGGUGUAGAUGAGGCUGGGUCUAGUCAGGUUAUGGAUGGUAGUGUAGAUGAGGCUGGGUCUAGUCAGGUUAUGGAUGGUAGUGUAGAUGAGGCUGGGUCUAGUCAGGUUAUGGAUGGUGGUGUAGAUGAGACUGGGUCUAGUCAGGUUAUAGAUGGUGGUAUAGAUGAGGCUGGGUCUAGUCAGGUUAUAGAUGGUGGUGUAGAUGAUGCUGGGUCUAGUCAGGUUAUGGAUGGUGGUGUAGAUGAGGCUGGGUCUAGUCAGGUUAUGGAUGUAGUGUAGAUGAGGCUGGGUCUAGUCAGGUUAUAGAUGGUGGUGUAGAUGAUGCUGGGUCUAGUCAGGUUAUGCUAGUGGAUGAGGAGAGUAUAGUGGGGAAGUGUAAGAAACUAGGGGGGAGGAGGAGGGUGUCAAGAGAAAAAGGGUGUGGUCAAAGGCACCAUGGAACCUUUGCCUGGUGCUGGGGGAGGCCCUGACUAGAGAGGAAGGGCAGGUGGUCAGGAUUGGAGAUGGAGAUGAGGAGGAGGAAAGUGAGUCUGAGGAAGAGGAUGAUGAGGAGGCCUUUUCUUCAGACUCCUCUUCAAUGGGUCCGGAGCUGACAGCCAGUCAAGCAGAGGGGUCAAAGUAUACGGUGAGAGAACUGACAAGGUUCCUGAAUGAGACCAAGGUGGAAAAAGUUAAUCUUGAGGAUUUUUUUUCUGAUCCGAGAAAGUUUGUAAGAUCAGUACAACAUGCUAUGACAAAUGAGGGGCAUGGUGUCCUCUCACCCAGGAAACGGUUUAGGUUGAGGAAGUGGGUCACAACAGUGCGUAAGGGUCUACCUUCAGACACUGUUUAGAUGUAUAGCUUCUUUCUGGCAAUGUGGUUUUUUGAGCUUUGCUAUUGGUCUCUUUCUUUGCUGGCUUUUCUCCCACUUCUUAUGGAGACUCUUCGGGUAGGAUCGCUCAAUAUAAAUGGCGCCAGAGAUGCGGGAAAGAGGAGCGUGCUGGGUGAAUAUGUGAAACCAAAAAAAAGUACAGGUAUUGUUUCUGCAGGAGACGCAUAGUGAUAUGGUGAAUGAAGUCGAUUGGGGGCUCUGGUGGAAAGGGGCAAGUGUGUUGAGCCAUGGGACAAAUCUUAGUGCAGGGGUGGCAGUCCUUUUUGUACCGGGUCUAUCUGUAAAAAUUUGCUCCUCAAAAUUGGGGUGUAGGGUAGGCUGGUUGUUGUAAAAGCAGAAAUUAACAACAGGUGUUUUGUCCUUAUAAAUGUGUAUGCCCCUAACACAGGGAGAGAGAUGGUGCUUCUGUUUGGGUGUCUUAGACAGGAACACUCUAAUUUUUGGUGACUUUAAUAUUCACAUGAAAGUCCACAGACCCACUCCAAAAGGCUUGCGGAGCCAUCAUCGACUCAGUGGGUUUUGUCCAACAUGUCUCUGGACCUACUCACUGCCACAGUGGAUCUUAAUGUUUUUCCUCAUAAUCCUGGACUAUCGGACCACCAUUUUAUUACGUUUGCAAUCGCAACAAAUAAUCUGCUCAGACCCCAACCAAGGAGCAUCAAAAGUCGUGCUAUAAAUUCUCAG
rnacentral:lncRNA from 1 species